UUAGUCAAUGCUCGCAAGAGUGAACUAGCUAACUGAAAUCACAGGACUCAUUAUAUUGAGAAAUGUGAUAACGUAAGGGAAAAAAAUGAUAUUACCUUACUAUUAGUGUUGUCCAAAACUGGUGCCAGAAGACUCGGUAAGGCCAGAGACGCAAACGUUAGUCGUCCUAAUCAGGCGUAAAGGGUAUGUAGGCUGCUUUAAAAUCAAUUAAAGCUAGGAUCAAAUUGAGGAUAAACCAAAUAAUACUUAGUGUAGGGUUGAUAUCUAUAGAUACUAAGGGGAAUACUAAAGGUGAAAGCUUUUUAUCUAGUAAUGAUUGACGCUGAGAAACGAAGGUGAGAAUAGGAAAUAGGAUUAGAUACCCAGAUACCUCUCACUGUCAACGAUGAAUGGUGGUUGUUAGUUUUAAUAAAAACUGGUAACGAUGUUAACACGAUAACCAUUCCGCCUUGCGAGUACGGUUGCAAAACUGAAACCAAAAAAAUUAGUCGGUCUCGAAGCAAACGAAGUGAAGCAUGUUAUUUAAUUCGAUA
rnacentral:rRNA from 1 species